UUUAAAUGUGUGCACGUGUAAUACUGGCGCGCGAAGGCCAACGUAAAUCUGUGUUUCGACGUUUAUUCCGUUGCAAAGCGUUAAUUUCUGCGGGUUACCGCGCCACGUCGUGACGGUGCGCCCUUAAAUGGCCAACUCUCGGCUUGGUUUCGCGCGUUCUAUCCAACUAUUUGCAUUGUUAAAUAUUAGUAAUAACGAUCGAGGCUUUGGACCGAGUGUUGCGCAAUUUACGAGCUAGAAACAAAUACAUCGCCUGCAGCCUCGGACUAACGAAGUUGGUGGAGCUGGUGAACCAGUACCAGGGCUGUAAAAAAAAGCACGGGGACCACACGGGAGGCUUCUGCUUCUUGCGACGAAGACGAGGUUUCGAGAGGAAAGGUUCGAACGUGGAUUGCACGUUUCGAGUAUGGACGGCUUCGAGGUUUUUUUAGAUUUUCCACUUGAGAAGGAGGAGAAGGAGGAAGAAACUGGAUGUUUAAUUAAGGGAUUUCGAUGAGAAAGUUGGAUCUGGAACGAUGAGAUUAACAGAGGGUUGAAGUUUCUCAUUUUAAACUUUUUUUUUGGAGAGUAAUGUUAAUUGAAAGAAUUUCGAUGUGAAACGAUGGAUGAUGGAUAAUAAGAGAAAAUGAUAAGAUGGAUAUUGAAAUAUUAUAAAAAGAUGGAAGGAAGAAUUUUUUGAUUCGUAUUGAAUUUUUUUUUGCAAUUAUUGUAAUAAUUUAAUUUCUUGCUUAAGACGAAACGCGUAUUUUUUUUUAUUUAACUUAUAAGGAAAUGAUUUAUUCUGAUGGAUAUAUGAUUGGAUAUAGGAAUCGCAAGAAACAGAGGUUCCGUUGUCACGCUAGAAACCCCAUGGUGGCGAGAACUAGAAGUACCGCUACGAAUAUAACUCGCUUCCCGCUUGUCUCAUCUCUGUUACAGAGAGUAAAUUGGCAAGUGUUUUUAAAUACCUAGUAAUUAUAGAUUAUAAAAGAGUAGAAAGAGUAUGUCACGAGAGAGAUUUUUAAUUGAUAAAGUUAUAAAAUUUUAUAAGUUAAUUAUUGCCAAGUUAAUAAGUAAGUAAGAUUUUUCAAACUGCAAAUUGAAUUCUACCUCGUUCUUCAAUCAACACGCUACCGUCGAAAGCAAACAAAUUUUCCUGUCAUCGACAAUAAUUAUUUCCUAUUUUAAAAUAAUUUCAUUAACGGUUAUCGACAAUAUCCUUUUGAUCGAAGCCAACUUUAGAUUAUUUCUGCUCAUUCAAGCCCAGCAUUUUUCCUCCAAUAAUUCCUAACCGCAGUAAAAAUCGAGACGAGUCGACGAUAACGAGAUUCACGCUUCCAAUUCAUUUAAACAUAUCGAACAAACGUAAUAAAGCAAUAAUGAAGAAAGAAGAGAGAGGGGGAAGAACGAAAAGAAAAAUCGAAAGAAAACAGCAGCGAAUAAAAAAUACACGGGAUAAAAAACAGAGGGGAAAACGGUGAGCAAGCGGCGGAUGGCAAUAUGGCGGCGGAAAAACCGAGCCAUCUGGCGGACGAAACGGAAAUGAGGAUCGAAACCGCGAUUCUCCGGUCUCGAAACGCGGAAUGGCAAGUUUCUUUAUGCAGGGUGUGAUCGAGGUGUCCGCAAUGACGAAUAAUGCUCAGCGCGCAAAUCAACCGAGUGAAAAAGAGCGUGCAACGGAGAGACAAGAAGUCGCGCCUGUGACCGCGGCCGCGUACGAGCAUUGAAUAACGCCAUGCCAGAACGAAGAGGAUCGUUUUUGCGGCGUCAUUGACAUUUUCAUUAAGUCGCUUCCCUUUACAGAGGCUCAUGAUUAUUUAUAGGUCGAUUGAUGAUGAUAAUGACCACCGUGGCGCGUCUCGAACGAUCCUUUUUUUUUUUCCUUUUUCCUUCUCAAUGCGGACCAAGGUGAUUGAGAGUCAGCGCGUGUUUCAUUGGUAGAUGGCAUGACGAUUCGACUGAUGAGGAAUGAUGUUGUCGGAGAAGAAGAACAAUAAAGCGGGAGAGUUAUUUUUAAGGAUACCGAUUUUAAAAUUGUAAACAAGUUGCCAUUCAGCCAAGAAGAAAUUAAUCGGAAUUGGAUUUCAUUCCCCGAUACGGCUUCCUACGACAUUCGAUUAUUGUAUUAAGUAAAAGAAGGGAAUUCUUCUAUGAUUAUAAUGUUAUAACUUAAUUUAUGAAAAUGUUGAAUUGUUAGGAAUAUUUAUUACUACAGGGACACGUUAUGUAUUAAUAAAAAAAAUACUAUACCAGAAAAGAAGGAACAUCUCGAGUCGUGUUCCUGGCAUCGCAACGAAAAUUAUUACCAUUCUCUUUUCGACAUUGCACAUUCCUUGUAAUAACAUAUGGUACAUCCAUAACAUUGUUGCAAAACAAGGUCGACACUGUACCACUUCUGGAUGGGAUUGCCUCUUAACACGGAGUAGGGCUGUGUUCCGUAACGUCGCCGUCAACCACGAUGCAAUCAAGUCUUAAGCGUGCAAAUGCGACGUGCAAACAAACUGGAACGGCAAUUAUUUACGUAAGCAUCGAGAUCGUGGGAUCUGUUUGGAAUGACACGUCGUUAGACGGCAGGAUCGAUAUUCUAGUUCCUGAAGAAUUAUUACUGGUCAUCCUUGAGGCUGGCCGAGAGAUCUUUUGCAAGGACGGAUUGACAAGUAGAUUUCGAUCAAUCAUCUCCAUCAUUUUUGAUAAUUGCAGCCUGUGAACGAUACAUUAGACGUUGGUACGAGGCAAUUAGCGAGUAGGAUUGAUGGAGUUGCACUAAAAAAACUUUUUCAUCUUAUAUUUAAAUAAAAAGAAAAAAAACUGUACUUUUUUCAAUAUAGUUUCAAUUAUUUUGAAUCAAAGAAUAUACGAAAGUGUAUUGUUUUAAAUUUUUUUUAAGGAGAAAUGCAUUCGAAGAUCGUUGAAUUUUGAGGAGGGAUGAUCCAUGGAAACUUGGAAUUACGAAACUAAUUAAUCAUUGAAAAAAAGAACAAAUAAAAUUAUUAUGAAAAUAAUAAA